UGUGUGAAGAAGAGUCUGGAGAAGAUCAGCCAGUGGGACAUCGUGACAUGGACUCUAUCAGGUCGUGAAGCUUCAGUUUUCACCCUACAGCCUCCUGAACCUCGGAGCAGAGACGAGUUUUUACAAUACUUCUGUCCACUCACACUGGACAUCAACACGGCACACAG